UGCAUCUGCGGGAAUCAACCAGGCCCCCGCGUGUCAGGCGAGCAUUCUACCACUGAACCAAAAGC